GGCUGGCCGCGUUUGCGCUGGGCGGCAUCGCCCCGGGCGCUGUCCCGCUGCGGAACGGGCUCGGGCCGUCGGGAGAGGCGCUGCGAGCCGCCCGUGUUCGGCCUAGGGAAGGGAAGGCUGAGAGGGGAUCUCGUUUAUACGCGGCCUGUGAGGAGAGGCGCGGGGGCGCCUCAGCGUGGCGAGAAAGAGGCUGAGGGGACCUUGCUGCUGUGUGCAGGAGGGUGGAGCCCGUGUGGGUCGGGCUCUUCUCCACGGAACCGGCGGCACAACGAUGGGGCAUGGCCCUGAGCUGCGCCAGGGCAGAUUUAGGUUGGACAUCAGGAGAAUUCUCUUCUCAGAAGGGAUGUCUGGACAUUGGACUGCCCAGCAAGGUGGUGGGGUCAUGGUUCCUCUCAGUUUUUGAAGAAAAACUGGAUGUGCCACUCAGUGCCAUGGUCUGGUUGAUGUGCUUGGUCAGUUUGAACUCAGUGAUCUCAAAGCUCUUUUCUAAACCAGUUGACGGUGUAAUUCUGUAAUGCAGAAUAAAUACCUCCAAUAGAAUAUAAGCAUCUCAAAGCCAGGUACCGAGAGGGCUGUGCCAGAAUCUUGGCAGUUGUGCCCCAUGACAGGAUGAGGAGCAAUGGGCACAGACUAAAGUACAAGGAAUUUCACUUGAGCGUGAGGAAGAGCUUUACAUCGGGGGUGGAACAGGGAGGGUGUGGGGUCACCCUCUCAAGAUUUUCCAAUUGCACCUGGACACGUUCCUGUGUCACUGGUCCUUGGCAGGGGGUUGGACUGGGUGAUGUCCAGGGCUCCUUCCAGCCCUGGCAAUUCCAUGAUUCUGUGAGGCAGCUGCCAGAGGAAGGGGCACCUCCUGCACCCGGGGCUGAAGGACCGAUGGGCACAGCCAUCCCUGCCCCAGCACCCACCCUGGGGCAGGCAAGAGCAUAACUGGGACAGAGGAAGUGACAGAAAUCCAUAUUAAAUAGAACAAAAAUAAGGUAUGGUGUGCAGAGAUCCUGCACGAGAGGCAGAGGUGAAGCCAGGACAUCCUCCGUGCUCCCAGGCUUUGUGAGGAGCUGGCACAGGAGGAGGCACUCCUUGGCAGACAUUUCACAGCAACGAGGACAGGACAGUUGAUGUCAAGUGCUCUGAUGAUAGCAUUUUGGACAGAACACUGCACUUGAGCUUUUCUGAAACACCACUGGGACUGUGAGUGUGUGCUGGGUAACUUGCUGAGGCAGGUACUCAAAUACUGAAAGGCCAAAAAACACACAGUCUCUCAGUCUGGAAAUCUUUCACUGUCAUACCUUGUGUAACUGGAUAACAACAACUAAAAAUCCUUCAGAUUUACAGUGAAAAGGAAGCAAAUCAGUGUUGACAACAGUGUACAAAAUCUGUUUUACCUCUCCCAAGGUGCAGCAUGUGGAAAUUGUGUCACAGUAAUCCUCACUGGCAACUGUAGUUUGCAUUUACUGCAUCGGAUUUGGAACCCAAAUUUCACGAGAGGGGUGAGUGAAAUGUUGAACACUGUAUGUUUUGAAAAUUGUUUUGCAAAUAUGAUUUUCAAACUCUUCCGUAACACUUGAAACAAGGAAGAAGGGCUUACUAUUGACUGGACAUGUAAUUUUUGUGAAGGUGUACAAUCUCUUAGAUCCUCAGGAAUUAUUUAUAUUACAUUCUCAAAUAACUACAGUUUUAGAAGUGGAAUUCUCCAGCUGUAGGGUCACUGUUGGAUAUGCCUUUGCUGUUCAUCUGAGAGCCUUUAGCACUGGUAUGUUGGAAACAACAGAGGUCUGCAGUUUGUGGGCCUAGAAAAAGGCCAGAUAACUAACUAGUAAGUAGAAAAUUUUAUUGAGAAAAAUAGUUUGACAGCUGGAGCAUUACCUGGGAUUCAGUUCUUUCAGGGGGGUGUCUUACGUGUUUUCAGUUACUGGCAUGGGAAGCAAUGCAAGGCAGUAAUUUGCAUUCUAAGAGAGUAUUUUUUUCUUCCCAAAACUAGAACACAUCCAUCUGGAUCAAAAUGGAAAAUGUCUUUAUUAGGGAAUUCCUAUUUUAAAUUGCACUGUUCCUUCACCCUAAAUCAGCAGUUAAUUAACAAAUCAAAGUUAUCAGUUUAAACCAAGUAAAAAGUCAGCAAAUUUGAGCAUCUGUGGAGUCAAGGUCUGGUGUAUUUCCCAGACUGUAUAAAUCAGUGUGGUAGACUAUCAGAGCACACUUAAUAAUGAUGUUUCUCAUUAACUACAUUGGAAAACCAAAAAAGGGCAAAGCUAAUUAACCCUAAAACUAGGGCAAAAGUUAGGAUAUGAGAAAAAAGCAGAAUGCCAGCUUCUCCCUCUCAAGUUCAAACUGAGGCCACUGCAAUUGAAGUAUGAUGUGCAAUAUUGCUUGUGAAUGUUCUUUUUAAACUGCCAGGAAAUUUUGGGAGAUGAAGUGUAACAGAUCCCUUGGUGCUGGGGCCAGUCCAUCCCAGUCCCUUCCACCUGUGCUCACCUGGUCUGACACAUCCCACUGCUGUCAGCACUCCCAGCUAGUUCAGAUUCCCACUUAACUGGGACACGGGAGCUCAAUUAAGAAUAAACCUCACUGUUAAGCAUUAUGCACAGCAACACAGUUUAUUUUUAUAACUUAUUCCAGUGUUAAAAGCAUACAGCUGCCAGUGACACACAGGUUGUCCUCUACAGCUCUUUGGUUCACAGCACCAGGCUCAUCUGACAUUCCGGAUUCUCUUCCCAAGUGCAGGCACAGUCCAUUACAGCUGCAAGCAUCCCUUUUAAUGAUUCAGUGCAUGAGCUUGACCAGUGAGACUGGAAAAUGAAAAAAAUAGCAGCAAAAACCACUGAAGUGUUUGUGUCCUGGACCAAGUUUUAAUGCUUAAUCAUGUCUUCAGCAGGUUCCACUUUGAACAGAUUUUGACAGACAGCGCGGAACAUCACGUAGCUGCAAGCAGGAUAAAAACUAAACCCUGUAGUGAGGGAUGCUGAACAGUCAGGGCCAAACCCUGGCCCUGUGAGUCUGAGGACACAGGGCAGGCACUGAAGUAAGAGGAGGCUCAUACACGUCAUG